GACGCAGCUCAGUGGUAGAGCACUUGCCUCCCAUGCAGGAGGUCCUGGGUUCCCUCCCCACUGCUACA
rnacentral:tRNA from 1 species